rnacentral:misc_RNA from 1 species
AACGGUCUAUACCUGCGGUACCUGCGGAGGGAUCAUUACUGAGUGAGGGCCCUCUGGGUCCAACCUCCCACCCGUGUUUAUUGUACCUUGUUGCUUCGGCAGGCCCGCCUCACGGCCGCCGGGGGGCUUUCCGCCCCCGGGCCCGCGCCUGCCGGAGACAAUCUUGAACGCUGUCUGAAGAAUGCAGUCUGAGCGAUUAAGCAAAAUUAGUUAAAACUUUCAGCAAUGGAUCUCUAGAUC